rnacentral:misc_RNA from 1 species
ACUAUUUAGUUGGCUACUGGUUAGGUAAGGUAUUUUACUAUUGUCCCGCUUUUGUGUGGUUGGUUGCUUAGUUGUUUAUGGACAAUCUAGCAGGUUGCAGUUUCCAUGCUCUGAGAUUAAUUUAACAGGGUUAAGUGGGUCUAAUUCUUAUAUGAUUACGUAGCAAAACAACUAUGAAAUUAGUUUCUUUGUGGCUUUCUUUUUUGUGCCUCCUAAUUUUGCUUUGUCAGCAAUGGAUAUGCUUGUUGCCCCGUUAUAAAUUACUUUCAAAAGCUUAAUUUUUUUUCUUUAUGAUUAGCUUUAUUCUUAUGUAUCCCUCAUUUCUUGUCGUUUAUAUUGCGUUGACUCCACAGAUGG